UACGGAGGAGGCAAGCGUUAUCCGGAAUUAUUGGGCGUAAAGCGUCCGCAGGUGGCACUUCAAGUCUGUCGUCAAAGACUGGGGCUUAACCCCGGAAAGGCGGUGGAAACUGAAGCGCUAGAGUGCGGUAGGGGUAGAGGGAAUUCCCGGUGUAGCGGUGAAAUGCGUAGAGAUCGGGAAGAACAUCGGUGGCGAAAGCGCUCUACUGGACCGCAACUGACACUCAGGGACGAAAGCGUGGGGAGCGAACAGG
rnacentral:rRNA from 1 species